GGGAGAUAAGAUAUUCUGUGUCAUCAAUUUUAAUUCCUUUAAUUUCUUUGUUCUUUCUGAUUAAAAUUCCUAGAAUUUCAGCACAUAAAAGAAAAAAUAUAAGGUGAUAAAGGAUCCCCUUGUCUACAGCCUCUUUGAAUCUGAAAGAAAUCUGAUAAAAAACAGUUUUGGGAUACUGAUGAGCUUAUAUUUGUGUAAAAAGUCUUUAUCCAAAGUUUUAUAGAGGGUCCAAAAUUGAAAAAGUCUAAUACUUCAUUUAUGAAUUUCCAUGAUACCGAAUCAAAAGCUUUUUCAAAAUCUAUGAGAAGGAGAAGACCUGGCAAAUCAUUUACCUCUGUAUAGAAUAAAAUAUCAUAUAUGAGACGAGUGUUUUCUCCAAUAUAUCUUCCAGGAAUAAAACCUGUCUGAUCAUUGCUAAUAAUAAUGGGUAGAACAGAUUUGAUACGCUCUGCUAUACAACUUGAUGCUAGUUUAUAUGUUGUAUUCAAAAGACUUAUUGGUCGCCAAUUUUUCAUAAACUGUCUAGGUUUAUCACCUUUUGGUAAACAAGUAAUAAUACCCUGUUUUUGAGUUAUUGAUAAUUCCCCCCUUUUGUAACCAUAAAUUAUAGAUCUGAAAACAAAUUUUCCUACAUUUGUCCAAAAGAAUUUAAAGAACUCAUUUGUAAAGCCAUCUGACCCUGGACUUUUCUCAUUUUUCAUUCUACGCAUAGCUGUUGUCAAUUCAUUAUAAGUUAUCUCCCCCUCUAAAGAUUCUUUUAAAGUAUCAUUUAAUUUUUUAAUAUCAGAAUCAGGUAUUUCACUAUUAAGAUUUACUUCACUCAAGCUUUCUGUUUUAGUAUACAGUUUUUUAUAGUAAUUUUUGGCCUCUUCUAAUAUUUUAUCUUGUUUACAAAUUGUCUCCCCUUUUUCAUUAACUAGUUUGGGGAUGGUUUUAUUUAUAAAAUGUUUAGUUUCCAUAUUAAAAAAAAAACUAGAUGGCUUUUCCCCUUCUUCAAUCCAUUGCAUUUUUGACCUGAUAUAGUAUCCCCUCAUUUUUUCUUUCCUUAUUAUUCUAAGAUCAGAUUUAUGGUGUUCAAUUUCAUUUAAUAUUUCCUCUGUUAAGAUGCUUUCCUCUAAUUUCUGAAUUUUUUCUGAUAAUUAUUUUUCCUCUUUAUCUCUUUCCUUCUUUUUAUAAGAUGCAUAGGAAAUGGUUUUUC
rnacentral:lncRNA from 1 species